GAGUGUGGCUAUACUAUUUUCAU
rnacentral:siRNA from 1 species